CGAAACCAGGUGAUCUACCCAUGUCCAGGAUGAAGGUAAGGUAAUACUUACUGGAGGUCCGAACCCACGCACGUUGAAAAGUGCGGGGAUGAGGUGUGGGUAGCGGAGAAAUUCCAAUCGAACUUGGAGAUAGCUGGUUCUCUCCGAAAUAGCUUUAGGGCUAGCCUCGAGGUAAAGAGUCAUGGAGGUAGAGCACUGUUUGGACUAGGGGCCCUUCUCGGGUUACCGAAUUCAGAUAAACUCCGAAUGCCAUGUACUUAUACUCGGGAGUCAGACUGCGAGUGAUAAGAUCCGUAGUCGAAAGGGAAACAGCCCAGACCACCAGUUAAGGUCCCCAAAUAUAUGUUAAGUGGAAAAGGAUGUGGGGUUGCUUAGACAACCAGGAUGUUGGCUUAGAAGCAGCCACCAUUGAAAGAGUGCGUAAUAGCUCACUGGUCGAGUGACCCCGCGCCGAAAAUGUACCGGGGCUAAACAUAUUACC
rnacentral:rRNA from 2 species